rnacentral:rRNA from 1 species
AGUGAACGCUGGCGGUAGGCCUAACACAUGCAAGUCGAACGGCAGCACAGUAAGAGCUUGCUCUUACGGGUGGCGAGUGGCGGACGGGUGAGGAAUACAUCGGAAUCUACUUUUUCGUGGGGGAUAACUUAGGGAAACUUACGCUAAUACCGCAUACGACCUACGGGUGAAAGCAGGGGAUCUUCGGACCUUGCGCGAUUGAAUGAGCCGAUGUCGGAUUAGCUAGUUGGCGGGGUAAAGGCCCACCAAGGCGACGAUCCGUAGCUGGUCUGAGAGGAUGAUCAGCCACACUGGAACUGAGACACGGUCCAGACUCCUACGGGAGGCAGCAGUGGGGAAUAUUGGACAAUGGGCGCAAGCCUGAUCCAGCCAUACUGCGUGGGUGAAGAAGGCCUUCGGGUUGUAAAGCCCUUUUGUUGGGAAAGAAAAGCAGCAGGUUAAUACCCCGCUGUUCUGACGGUACCCAAAGAAUAAGCACCGGCUAACUUCGUG